rnacentral:misc_RNA from 1 species
GGAGAGAGAGGCAGAGAGCAAGAUUCUGGAAGAGGUGGGUACAUAUUAGAUGGUCCCAAAAUUAUAGACACAAGCCUUGCAAGAGAUCACAUGGGCAACUUGUUUGAACUUCGAACUCAUUUAUUAAUUUUCACCAAGUGGUGGCAAAGCUGAAAAUUACUAAUAAUAUAUGCAAGAAGCUGAUUCACUAGCUAGGGCCAUGGAUGGAGGUCAUUUUCUUUUAUUUAACUGUAGAAAAACAAGCAAAUGCUGCCAAAUUAAGAACUUGAAUGCAGUUGGC